rnacentral:lncRNA from 1 species
GUGACAGGAUUUAUUUCCUAUUCAUUUCAAACAUGUGGAAGCCCUGUGUCAGCACAGGACAAAAAGCCAUGAGGCUUUAGACACAUCUCCAUGAGUGCCUGAUUAACAAACUCUAUGGAGCUUAACUUGGAGUUGAGUUUUCAAAUCCCACCAAAGGCCAAGAAGAUCUCAGAAAACUAGAUUUCUCCUACCUUUCAAUUCUGCCGAAACUUCCAAGCCCUACUCACUUCAUUUAAUCUGGCUGUGAGCUUAUCCAAGACCACUCAUCUGGACCAAGAACUUGAAAUCUUGAAAUUACAGAACCCUUUGAAAGGUGGUUAGCCCAGGCACCUGGGUUGACACUGUGUGCUUGAGGGAAAACUAUUCAAUAAAAUGCCACAGUAAGUUCA